rnacentral:rRNA from 1 species
UGGGGAAUUUUGGACAAUGGGCGAAAGCCUGAUCCAGCAAUGCCGCGUGUGUGAAGAAGGCCUUCGGGUUGUAAAGCACUUUUGUCCGGAAAGAAAUCCUUGGCUCUAAUACAGUCGGGGGAUGACGGUACCGGAAGAAUAAGCACCGGCUAACUACGUGCCAGCAGCCGCGGUAAUACGUAGGGUGCAAGCGUUAAUCGGAAUUACUGGGCGUAAAGCGUGCGCAGGCGGUUUGCUAAGACCGAUGUGAAAUCCCCGGGCUCAACCUGGGAACUGCAUUGGUGACUGGCAGGCUAGAGUAUGGCAGAGGGGGGUAGAAUUCCACGUGUAGCAGUGAAAUGCGUAGAGAUGUGGAGGAAUACCGAUGGCGAAGGCAGCCCCCUGGGCCAAUACUGACGCUCAUGCACGAAAGCGUGGGGAGCAAACAGGAUUAGAUACCCUGGUAGUCCACGCCCUAAACGAUGUCAACUAGUUUGUUGGGGGACUUCAUUUUCCUUAGUAACGUAGCUAACGCGU